rnacentral:misc_RNA from 1 species
UGGGAGCCGACAAGGGCAGAAGUCGCCGAGCUAACCUUCGGGAAGCAGGCGCCCAAGCUGUUGUUGACGACUGGGGUGAAGUCGUAACAAGGUAGCCGUAGGAGAACCUGCGGCUGGAUCACCUCCUUUCUAAGGACGCCGGAGAUGCUUUAUGCUUAUCUCUGGAUAGUCAAAGUCGAAACAGACUCUCUUCUCUUCUCUCCCUUUUCUCCUGUAAAUGCUAGGUUAUGAAUUUAGAGCAACGAAGGGAUUAAAUUCGUUACUGUGGACUCCUAAUUUCAAGAGGGGCCUGUAGCUCAGCUUGGUUAGAGCGCAUCCCUGAUAAGGAUGAGGCCGGUGGUUCAAGUCCACCCAGGCCCACCAGGUUCAGUGGGGGAUUAGCUCAGCUGGUAGAGCGCCUGCUUUGCAAGCAGGAGGUCAGCGGUUCGACCCCGCUAUCCUCCACCAAAUUAAUGAACAGUAAAAAAGGUGGUGCAGCUUAAGCAGAAGAUAAGCUUCAGCAAUUAUUUAAUAAUUUCUGAAUUUUAUUUUUUAAUAUCUUAGACAAUUGAAUCGGAGGUUUUGGAGACACAAGAUCAAAUGUGAGGGUCUCCAAGGGUUGACGAUCUUGACUGUUAAAGUCAGGUAGUAAGGGCGCAGGGCGGAUGCCUUGGCUCUGGGAAGCGAAGAAGGACGUGGCUAGCUUCGAUAAGCCUCGGGGAAGAGCAAACAUCUUUUGAUCCGGGGAUUU